CCAGCCUGUGGGCUAUAUGUUGCCCACCUGUGCUCUAGGAGCUGGAUUUGGCCCAUGUCAAGAGGUUAAGUACUGUGUCAGUGCACUGUGUGUGCCUGCCACUUUAAGGGCCUGGAGCUGGCAGCCUCCAGGUGCCUGAUUAGGGCAGCCAUUUUAGAGACAAGUGCUGCCUUUAUAAGCAGGGCAGUUUGGCUGCUGGAGGUUAGGCAGCAACAUUGCCUGGCCGGAGGGCUGCUGUGAAUGACCCGGAGGAACCCAUUAUGCGUGGAGCUGUACAAACAUAAGAGCACCCUGUGCUCUGCAACCUAUGGAUGAAACCUAUUCCAACCUUGCGAUUUUUCUUGCUCAUGAAUAACAAUGCAGACAAGUUUAACUAAAGGCUUGAUUUUAAAAAGAGACCAAGAAAUGCCUUAUAUUUCAGAAGUGCAAAAUUAUGCCCAGAUACAUUAGGCUAGGUUAAUAACUAAUUAAAUCAAAAUCCAGCAACACAUGGGAUUUUAGCUAGAAAUAGAGAAAGUCUCAAUAGCAAAAUCCUUUAAAAAUUGGGCUGAUGUUAUCUACUGCCAGUUCCAAUGUCACUCCACAGUGUAGUCUCAAAAAAGGAUGAAAGAAAGGACUAGAUAUUCUUCCUUUUUUGCAAGGAGCUCCAGCUUGGAAUUAUAUGUAGAGCCAGCCUGCCUGGGACCUGUCUGUCUGUGUCUGUCUGUCAUUCAUAUAUAUGAGAUCAGUUUUUGGAGGAAUUUUACAGGCUUAGGCCCUUUACUGAGUGUCCUGCUAACCCUGAGAUUCUCUCUAGCGAUCCACCAUAUUUGUGGGUGGAAUCUCUAUUUUAUCUCAUGAUGGGAACUAGAAGAUUUGGGGAGGAAUUUCUAGUGGGGAUAUUUUGAUUGUUCUUAUUCUCCAAAACCCUAGAUGGUUUUUCUUUAGGAAAAGAAAUCAUUUAAGAUGGGCCAGGGGUGAGUGAAUGCUUUGCUCAUAAAUUGUGCAAGAUAUUCUUAGUGAACCUGGAGGAAAUAUAGGAUAUGCUCAUUAGGUACUCUAUAGGCAAAUUACAUGUAGAAGAAGAAACCAGUGUAGCACUUAUUCCUGCCUCUACAAAAAAAAACAAACAAAAAUCUAGGGCCAAAUCCUGAUGCUUUUAUUCUUCCAUACUCAGUAAAAGCUGUCAUUGAUUUUCAUGGGAGUUCCAGCUUAUUAAGGGUAUUAGAAUUAGGCCCUAAAUAACUUUUAGUGCUUUUAUUAUUUAAAAUAAUACUGAGUUCCCAUUUUGCCAACACACCAGUCAGGAAACUCAAGAGUUAUGGCUCUCCAGGCAACUAUAAUUUAGUCUGUUUGCUCAUAUGAAACAUUUUUCUCUACUGGGUAUGGUGUUACCUUUAAUUCCAUAGCAUACCCAAGCAGUGUAGCCAUCACAGUUUUUUCAGAAACAUAACUUUGAAUUUUUUUACUUCAGUUUGGAUCAGGUCUUGUCCAAAAUGUUACAUUAAUGUUACACUUCAUGAUGAACAUGAAACCAUAAUUAUAUAGAUGUGGAUGUGGCAUUUUUAUCUGUAAUAUCUCGCAACCUCACUUAAGGACCUUGCCACCUGCAAAUCUAAUAUUCUGGGACCCUUGAGGCUAAUUUGUACUUUAAACAGCACUGCCAAAAUGUGCACAGCCUGGAGGAGCACUCCUGGCUCUAUAUGAAGUUCAUUGACCCUGCCCUAUCAAUGCCAACCCAAGCCCCAUUCUCUUUCCCACCUCUUCCGCCAUGAGCAGAGGGAUGGCAAGUUUUCUCCUUUUAUCCAUAGGCAGAUUGUGUUGCUUUAGUUAGAAAUGGCUCCCAGAUCACACAACUGCAUCAUAACUGCACCUAAGGCAGAGGCUGGCAAUUAUUUUGGGCUGAGGGCCACUUACCCAGUUUUGGCAAGCUGUUGAGGACCAGAUGGGUAGUCGUCCCCCCCCCCCCCUUGAUAGGUGCUCCACCCCUUGACAGGUGCCCCAACCUCUGGUCACCAUUUUGGGACCAAUGUCCCAAUGUCUUGGGACCAAUGUCCCAGGGCCAGCACUGGUGGGGCCAAGAGCAGGGCGCAGGCUGGCAGGGGUCUGUGGAGCUGGGCUGGGCUGGGCUGCACCAGCAGGGAGAGGGGGGAGCUGGCCUGGGUCUAUAGAGCCCCUGCUAGCCAGGACCCUGUACCCCUGCUGCCCUUCAUUGGGUCCUGCUGGCACUGGCCUGGGACACUGGUGUGGGACCUGUGCUGCCUGCCUGCUCACUCCCAGUGCCCCCCAGCCCCAACCCCCUGCUCACAGGCAGGGAAGGAGCUGGUGUGGAGCGCAGGGAGAAGUGGCCCCUCACUCACCCCGUGGCUGGUGCUCCCUACUGCAGCCACUCGCAGCCUGCACAGAGCUGUCCUGAGCAGGCACAGGGAACCUGAGGCAGGGGAUGAGCUGCUACAGGUCUCUCUCUCUCUCUCUCUCUCUCUCUCCAGGCUCUCUCAGAAGAAAGAGGCUCAGUGGAAGGGUUUGAGUCCAGGUAGGGAAGAGAAACAGAGUCCAAGUCCUUGGUUGAGGAAGGGGUAGGGGGUCAUAGCUACCUAUCCAGGAAAGGGGUCAUUGUCCAGCAGGUGUCCUACCCCUUUUUAUGGGGCAAACUACCUCUGAUCUCCUAUGGGAGGGCCUGUCCAGACAAGGUCAGCCCUGUUCUUACUGAGCAUGUGCAGGUUGGCACAAUGGUGGGUUGCCUCAUUUUUUGUUUCUUGAAUGCUGAGGGUGGUUCCAAGGGUUGGGUUCUUGGUCCAGAUAUUGGUGUUGAUGGUUUGGUUGUUCAGAGGGAGAUAUUUUUAGACCUACUGCCAUUGUCUCUCAAGCACCUUCAUUAAUCCCCAUUCAUUCAGGAACCAAGUUACAUAGGAGGGGUAGUAUGAGUCAUAUGUUACACAACCAGGCCUGGGGAUAAGAUGGAGGCUUGACAUUACAAGAGGGAAACUCAGUAGAGCAUGAGCACAGUAGGAAUAAUUGCUUUCCUACUAUUGCAGUAGAAUUGGUGUAUGACCAAUUUAAAAAAAAAUUGACAUAUACAAGUCAGCAGGGGACUGGAUGGUCUUCAUCCGAGAGUGCUGAAGGAGCUGGCUGAAGUCAUUGUGGAACCCCUGGUGAAACUCUUCCACAGCUUGUGGCACUCUGGAGAAGUCUCUGAGGACUGGAAAAGGGCCAAUGUUGUGCCCAUCCAGAAGAAGGGCAGGAGGGAGGACCUGGGUAACUAUAAGUCAAUCAGCCUAACUUUCAUCCUAGGGAAAAUCCUAGAAAAGUUCAUCAAGGGGUCUAUCUGCAAUAAUCUUGCAGAAGGUAAGAUUUUGAAUGACAGUCAGCAUGGCUUCAUCACGGACAGGUCUUGCCUUACCAACCUCAUCUUCUAUGACCAGGUAAUUCACCAUCUGGACAUGAGAGAGCAGGUUGACAUUGUAUAACUUGACUUCCAAAAGGCCUUUGAUCUAGUAUCCCACAAUAUCCUCAUGAGAAAAUUGGAGGAUUGUGGGCUUAACUCCAAGACAGUCAGGUGGGUGAGAAACUGGCUGUAGGAUAGAACCCAGAGAGUCAUAGUGAACGGAUGUGUCAUCCUGGCGAGAAGUGGGCAGCAGUGUCCCGCAGGGGUCAGUGCUAAGUUCAUUACUUUUCAACUUCUUUAUUAACGAUUCAGAUGUGGGGGUGAAGAGCUCACUGGCCAAGUUUGCGGACAACACCAAGUUACAGGGGUGUGUAGUCACGCUUGAAGAUAAGCUUACAGAUACAGGUGGACCUAGACUGGUUAGCAAGUUGAGCAGAUUGGAAUCUGAUGAAGUUCAAUGUCAAGAAAUGUACAGUGCUCUACCUCAGGAUGAGCAACCCCCAACACAGCUACAGGCUUGGUGGCACCCAACUUACUAACACCAUGAAUGAAAGGGACUUGGGGGUAAUAAUAGAUCAGAGUAUGAAUAUGAACUGGCAGUGCAAUGCUCUAGCCAGUAGGGCAAAUGAUACUCUGGCAGCAAAUAAUACUCUCCAGCAAAACUAAGGAGGUGAUUCUUCCUGUCUAUUCAGCACUGGUGAGACCACAGCUAGAGUACUGAUCCAGUUCUGGGCACUGCACUUUAACAAGUAUGUAGACAAGCUUGAGAGAGUCCAAAGAAGAGCCACCUGUAUGAUCAGAGUCUUAAAAAACAAGCCAUAUGAGCAAAGGCUGAGGGAUCUGGGACUCUUCAGCCUGAGGAAAAGAAGGCUGAGAGGGGACCUGGUAGCAGCUUACCGCUACACUAGGGAAGUACAUCAAGGGCUCAGCAAGCAAUUGUUCACCAGGGCACCUGAGGGGAAAACCAGGAGUAACAGCCACAAACUCCUGGAAGAUCGAUUCAGGCUCAACAUUAGGAAAAACUUCAUGGUCAGGGUGUCCAGACUGUGGAAUAACCACCUUCCAGGGGUGGUGUAAUCACCUACUCUGGAAAUCUGCAAGAAGAGACUAGACACUCACCUUGCUGGUCCCCUUGUUACACUCUGUAAAGGGAAUGAUCCUUGAUCAUUUACCUCUGCAAGGAACAUCAUGUUCAAUUAUAACCAAAAGCCCUAUUGAAAAAUAGCAGUACUAAUAAAUAAACAAUAAACUUGGUUGUAUCUUUCUGGAUACAGAUAUAGGCAAGAGCCUUAUUGUAAAUUGUCCAAGCUUCAUUGAUUUCAAUUGAGUUAUUUUGAUUUUUUUUUCAACUGAGGAUCUGAUGCAGAUUUUGUAUGACAAAAAUAUCUAGUAUUAUUGUAGCUAAAUUCACAACACAGUACAGCAUGAUCUACACAAAAUUCAACUAAGGGGGUGGGGAUUUUCACACUGACCAGAUGGUAUGCAUACAGUUUACCAAGUGUGGAAAAAAUACUCAGUCACACCAAGGCUGCUUCUAGUUGGGCAUCAUGUAUGCCAGGUCUUUCCAAGUAAUUUACAUCUUAGCAACUAACCAAAGCUUUCUAAAAAGUGUUUGUACGAAAAUGUGAAUGUCUGUCCUAAGUUGAACAGGCAGUGCCAAUGACACAUCAUAUGCAUAUGUUUCUAAGAAUACCAACUGUCAACCUGGCAUUCUGAUUAGUGUUGGAAAAGCACUAAAAAGACAGCUGUCAUUAGAGUUAUGUUGUUUCAGCAUCUGUUCCUAAUUUUAUUAAUUCCUAUUUAUACAGUUUGUUUCUGUUUCAAGUUUUAAUUAAUUAAUUUAUUUAUUUAUCAAAUGCCGUUAUGUUUUUGCAGAGCCAAACUUUGGAGAAAGGCUGUAGGAGGAGGCAAGAGCAGAUCUCGAAAUACCAAAGCACGUGAAGGACCAUUUUUAGAUUAAUAGUGGUUAACAGGGCUUCUAUGGCAGCCUGUAGUGAUAUAGCUAGCAGUUGUGUGCCACAGAAGAUACAGGUAUUCUCCUGGUAAGCUGUCUAGUUAAUUCAGUCACAAUGUGAAGGUAUGGUGAGAGUAAAAACAAUUUUUGCUUCCAUCCAUGAGUUAGUGAUAUUGGUCUGAAUGUUCUUCAUAGCUUGGUAGCAGGAUAUAUGGAGAUCCUGAGAAGCAGCUUCUAGUAGUAGACUAUGUACACACUUUCUGAACAACACUGAUUGAAAGUUCAGGCUAUUAAGCUGCAAGGGCUCAAUAUACAAGUAGCUGAUCAGAAGGACAUAGCUGUUGCUAUUGACAUAUUGUUGGCCUUACUGAAUGAUGAUAAACAUCUGGUAUUACACAUUUGAUAGACUAGGGAAUAGGAACAAAGUUAAGAAUUUGAGGCUUACGGGAUACAAACAAAAAGAUAAUCUGUUGAAGGCAUUGAAUUCUUUCCUUGCAAAUAUUUGUAGAUCCUUUAAUACUUCAUACGGCAAUGAGCUUAUUUUCUGGCUUCAGAAGCAAGGCUACCACAUGACAAUCUCAGUCUUACAUGCAAUUCAGAAAUCUUCAAAAUAUAGAAUAAUAUAUUUAAGGUGGGAAGAAUCAAUGACUACUAUCAGAAAAAGCAGAAUGAUAGUUUUUCCAAAUGUGAAUGAGGGAAGGAAGGCUGAGGAACAGGGAUGAUGAGAGUUUUUCUCAUAGUUCCCCAAAUGUAACCAUAAUGUUUAUACCACCAGUCAAUUAUCUGUGAAGAAUCCCAUGCUUCACAACUCUUGUCAUGACCAAAAUAAAGUCAGUGUGGAGGGAAAGGGAUUAUGAGACUGAUAACUUUAGAGCUUGCAACUUAUUGAGAGUUGCUUCAGCUUCUAAAUAGCUAUGGAUUCCUACACACAUUCAAAUGAUCUGCAAGAAUUCCCCUGGGGUUUGUUUUCCUGGUAGAAAAGUUUACCCAGACAUCCCUGAACAGAUACUCAAAUGCUGAGCCCCUGAGGGCCAGAAAUCUAACUGUGCUGAUGCUGCACUGCCAGGAGGCCCCUGCAUACACAUCUCAGUGUGCUCUGUAAACUCGCUUGGUUUGGGAGCAAUUUAACCCUGGUUGCUCCCAGGUUGGUUUUUUUUUUUUUCCCUCAGAGCAGCCACUUUUGCUCUGGCAGAAAAAUCCUGAACGUCUCUGUACUUGUGGUUUUUACUGGGAGAGCAGCAACUGUCCCAGUAGAAACUGCCUGUCUGUGUGUGGCUUAUGAUUCUCACCAUCUCCUGCAGCGUGGCCUCAUUGUCUUUGGACAAGAAUGGAGAGACUCUAUGGCAUUUAUAGAUGUGAUCUGGGAGACAGGGUGGGGGGCAUUUUAAUUAGGUCAGCUCCCACAGCUGCGCUAAAUAAAGCACCCAGAGUGUCAUGUGUAUCAGCAUUCCCAUGAUGAAAAAUGGUGGCAGGGUGCUUUGAACUCAAGCUUAUCAAACAAGCUUUAGUUUAAAGUGCACUGCCUCCAUUUUUCAGCAUGGGGACACUGAUACAUAUGACGCUGGAGUCUGCUGAAGCAUGGUAACUAUGGCGCUCCAGCAGACUAUUAAUUGAGUUUGCUCUGAUGCUGUGUAAUUACAGCAUGUCACAGCAACUUCUCUGCAUGUGUUUAGGAUCCCUAGAUUCUUUAAAUAAAAUGGAAAAAGUAACCCAUAACUUUAGAAAUUCUUCCUAAUUCACCUCUAUGAACAUUGGAUGAGGAGAUGACUUUUCUUCCGCAAGUCAUUUUAAUUUCUUAAGUUUGUGAAUUAAUCCACAACAGCUCCACUGAGGUAGAAUAAUCAAGAAUCAUUGUGCCUGCCUAGAUAUUGAGAUUAUGACAUUCUCUGCUCAGAGCUACUUUAAGGCUAGAUACAGAUAUUAAAAAAUCCCAAGGUGGAUUUGAGUUAGUUAUGCAGGUUUAUCUAAGUGGACUACUUAGAGAGUGUGAACAGAGCACAAGUUUGACCUUUUGAGGAGGGGGAGGACAAGGGGGGGGGGGCACAAAGGCUGCCUGCACUGGCCAAGACCAGCAGCUUGGGGGCAUUCCUAUACACUUCUCAGCAUGCCAGAAACUGCCGAGAGCAGUCGAAUACAACUGAGUAGGCCACCCCUGAUUGGCUGCUGGGCAAACUCCUACCCCCCCCCAUCCUGUCAUCUGUCAGGCAGCUGUCAGCUGCAGGCAGCCAGCAGAGGGAGGCAUGCUCACCCCCUUUCAUGGCAGCAUGGGUUCCCUGGGCUUUGUCUGGGGUGGAGGCAUGGGAGUUCUCUGUAAGCAGGACAGAGGUGUGAGGGGAUGGGGGCAGGCAAUAUCAGCAGAACACCCUGCAUUCCCAGCCAAAGUCAGCAGGGCAAAAACUGUCCUGCCCCUGUCCUGAUUCUGUAUGAGCCCUGGGACCAUGCAAUGGAGUGACUCUGGGAAGGGCUCAGAGGAUUCCCAGCCUGCCCCUCCUUGGAGCCAGUGCCAAGUUCCCAGCUGAAGAUGCUUUCCCUGCAGCUACAAGGGCAUGAUUCUCCCUCCUCUCCCCUCUCCACCCCCUCUCACACCGCUCCCACAGUACUGGAGCCCUGCAGCUGCAGGGAAAGCAGCUUUAGCCAGGAACCCAGCACUUGCUCCGGGGAGGGAGGGAAUCUUCUAAGUCCUUCCCAAGGCUCCAUUUCUCCCCAGAAGCUCAUAAACCCCUCUCUCCCCUGCCUCUGUCCUGCUUGAGGCUGAGAGCUAGAGACCUCAGAGGCAGCACCUACUGGUUGCUCAAAUGGAGCAGCUGAGCCUGAGCUGAGUUCCAGUGUGCCUCCCUGUGAAGGAGGGCUAGCAGGGUGCUGCAAAAGAGUCUGUGAUGCCACACCUAAGUUGAGCUGGGAGGGGACCUGGUGCAGAAAUUCUGUAGAUUGGUCUAACCUGAAGCAAUUGAAUCUGAUACUACAUUUAUCCAGGUCUAUUUUAUACCGGGUUCUGCUAUUUUUAAACCAGUUUGUGUGUGCUGAACUUCUGUUCUGUUACAGCUUUAGACUGGUUUCUGAUCACUUAUAGCAGUUUAUUUGUAAUGUCUGUACCUGGCCUAAAACUGAGAUUUUGGCAAUGUGCUUGGGGGACUUGAUCUAUUAUCGGUGUUGUGCUCUUCCCUGAGCUUUGAUCAUGCUAUUGUGAAGAAAGUUUUUGUUGUCAUCCAAGACUGUGGAAAAAAUAAAAGGCCAAGACCAUUCAGGCUCAUGACCAACGUAUAAAUAACAGCAACAGAACAAUAUUAUAAGCUCUGUUGCCACAGCACAGCCACAAAUAGCACAAUUCUGAUUCAUCUGUGAUACAGGCUGUGGGGAUGGCAUUAAAAUACUGCUAUUUUAGCAAUUAAUCUUUGGCUGAAAAUUAAUGACUUUCUCCAUGAAUCUGUGGUUUAAAUAGCACAUGCUUUUUAGAAAUCAUCUACCAUUUAAAUGUUGGUUUAUGUUCCAUUUUUCUGUCACUAAACAUAUAAAAAAUAUAGAUCUGAUUCUUCUCAAAUUUACACAACUCUAUCAUAGUAUUCAUAGUAAACCAAUACAGCAGGGGUCAGCUAUGUUUUUGGACAGAGUGCCAAAAACACCUUCAACCUCGACUUGUAAGAUGUUGGUGUACCAGGGGCAAAUGGUGGGGGAGCCACAAGGUACCCAAUCUUUGUUGUGGCAGUGCAGCUGUGGACCCUCCUCUGUAGCAAAACCCCCAGUUUUUCUUUUUAAAAAAGAAAAAUACAUUCCCUCCCCUUCCCCUAACCAUUUCUGACUUUUUUUCUCUAUCCCUUAUAAGUGAUUACAAGUAGUACUAGUUAAGCUAAGCUAAGUUCUUGUAUGCUAUUAUUGUAAUAAGUCCCUCUUUAUAUUGUAAAUAGUGUUCUGUUAUGUUUGUAUUGAUUUUUACUGUUUUAUAUUGUAUUCCUAUCAUUUGUGCAUUGAUUGUUAUUGUUUCAUAUUAACAUUGUAUGAUUAGGCCUGCAAUGUGGGUUGGCAUGAGUCAUGUCAAGUAUCCAUUUUGUGUGUCAGGUUCCCAUCCUGUUCCCAUCUUGUUCCCAUGCCCUGUUGUGUAAGUAUGUUGUAACCUAUGACUCAUACCUACCCCUCCUAUGUAACUUGGUUCCUGAAUGAAUGGGUGCUUGAGAGACAAUGGCAGUAGGUCUAAAAAUAGCUCCCUCUGAAUGACUGAACCAUCAACUCGAUGACCCAGCCAUCACCCUGCAUUGAUCCUCCCUGCCUCAAGAUUUGGAAGACAAAGACUGCUGCAGAAAUAAGUCAACCCACCAUCACAGACACCUGAAACUGCAUGCCCUUACCUAGGAGUGCACAUGCUCAGUACACCAGGGGCUGACUCUUGCCUGAGCACGCCCCUGCCACCAGGGUCAUAGGUAGUCUGACCCAUAAAAAGGAGUAAUGAAGACAUACCCAGUGGGAUGCCCUCUCCAUCUGGACCAGCACCAUGCCACACCACCUACCUACCCAGAGGCCUUGUCGGCAACCCCCCUCUGGACAACACCUUACUGGAGAAGACCCUGACUGGCCAUUGAGGAUCAACUCACAGCCCAGGAUAGGUAGCUAUCACCCACCUUCCUUCCUAAACAAAGGACUUGGACUCUGUUUCUCUUUCCUACCUGGACUCCAACCCUUCCACUGAGUCUCUUUCUCCUGUUACCAUUGUGUGUGUGUGUGUGUGUGUGUGUGUGUGUGUGGGAACCAAUAACUUCAUGGGGCUGUGUAGUGUGUUGUCUGUUUAAUAAACCUGUUAUUUUGAAACCCUGA